ensembl:lncRNA
UGGGGGACGCGGCCGAGCGGAAACGCUGCACAGAGGAGCCUCAGCGAACCAAGAAAAAAGAGAAAGUGGCAACGAAAACAAGGGCAAAUUGAACCCUCCUCGGGGAUUUCCAGUGAACUAACCCGACUCGGACAUUCAAUAAAUACAUCGUCCCUAAUGAGUGUGCGUGCGCGUGCACCCCGCACCCGGCCGCCCUGGACGCAGACGCGGAGCCGCCGUGGUGCUGGGGGCUGCCCUUCUCCGGCGAAUAAUUCCUCUGCCGCGCGCAGUCAGUUUCGGUGGCGGGGGUGGGGGCUUGGUUAGGUCCGGAGCUCCCCAGCUUAGCCGCAGCCUUGAAGCCCUUGCGAGGUCUCGUGAUGAAUGGUGGGCGCGGAGCACUUGUGUGUGAUGUGGUCCCUCUCCUGUGUGCAGGGGGAGAGAUGCCCUCCUAGGUGGGUUUUAGCGGAUCCAUUAUUGCGAAGAUAUAGACCUGAAGGGCAGUGGUAACCAAACCCCAGACAGAACGGAUUUUUACCUCUGCGUCCCCUUAAGGUUCCCUUUCCUAUUUAUGUAUGCGUGUAUGUAUAUAUGGAAGAUGGAACACAGAUUUCAUUCAAUAAAUCUGAGAUCUCCAGGUGCAGGCGUUUGAAUAGUCGGUGCCAGCACCCCGUGUUUUCUUUUCCUGCCGAUUUUGCUUGGAUCCGACUCAAAAACCGAGAGAGUCUCGUGGUUUUGUUUACACUGAAUGGGGAGGGUAGGAACAGAGCCAUGGGGCCCCUUUCAUUAAUAUACAGUGAGGAUUUUGUCUAAAUUACCGCUAUGAAUUUCACAGUACACGCUUUCAAAAGCAGUCUCAGGUGGCCUGAUGAAACGGGAGAGCGCCUCCGCAAACACAUCCACUUUCUUUCUUUUCAAGGAGGGUGUGUGCGCGUAUGGGAAGCCCCCCAAAACGCCGUGCUCCUCGAAAUCAGAAAUGCACUUCUGUUGCGAGCUGGGUCCCCUCGGUCCUCCGCCUCCGCGUACUUAGUUCUCCAGUCGCUCCCCAGCCCCACCCAUCCGCCCCCUCCCUCUGCCGAGUGUGAUUGUUUUGUCUGGAAAAAAAAAAAAAAUCCAAAGUAUAUAACAAGGGGAGAACAGUUAGUGCUGACUUUCAUUUGCAUACAUUUUCAUAUAUUUUGGUGAAAAUAAUAGACGAGUGGAGAGCCGGGCUUAGAGGAGUCAGAGGAAAGAGAAGACUGAGGAGGUACCGCUUCUGGGGAGUUGAGAAUAUGUCUUUUCCCCCCACCAGUCCCUUAUUUAUUUUUUUUUUAAUAAAACCUCUUCCUUUAUUUUAAUAUCUAAUCCUGGAAGUUUGCUCGGCCUUAAUGCUAUUUGACUUCCAAGAAGAACUGAAAUAAAUUAUGUUCAGAGCUCCUUAGAAGAAAUACCCUUACAGGUUGAAAGUGUCGUUACCUCCACAGGGACUUCCUAGUUGCCCUCUGCAGGAGAUCAUAAGACAUCCCAGGAAAUGGAAGAGCAGUUUUGCUGAGUAAAUGUGAAACAGGCUUCGGGAUGGAGAGAAAAAUCAGCUGUUCAGCUCCCUCUCUGCUCUCCAGUGAAAGCCCUGAGACUGGAAAUCUCUACGAUUCUUCUCCAGUGCUUUUCAAGUUUUAAUCGAAGAACAUCUUUGUGAUCAGAUUAACCAAAUAUUGACCCCCAAAAGGAAGCUAAGACUCAGAGAAGAUCGGUAGAGACCUUUCAAGCCUCUAAUAUGCUGCUGCCUCUUAGCUGUUGGAAUCAGAGCAUACUUGUUGCAAGUGGCUACGGUGAGGAAAUGACCAGCUCGAAGCAGAUACUAAUUUUCCCUGCCCCCUCACCCCCACCCCAAUGAGCUGGCACAUGCUGGAGGUGGUGCAUGGCAGAGCUGCGCUGCUCCUAAGAGGUAUGUUUCUGAAGAGAACGGGAAAUGGGCACCGCUGCACACAGGUGUGGUCCUCUGUGGUCCCACCCGUCUUCCCAGAAAGUCCCUGGAGUAGCCACACCUAAGAAAGUGAUCCAAUCAAGAAAACAAAACAUUCCACCCUGCAUCAGGGUCAGCAGUUUAGGAGGUGACGGGAACUGAGUUCUGCGAUAUUGCUGUCGCCAGUGGUGACUUGCACAGAGGAGCCCCUGGAGCCCCUGAGAGCCACACCUGGCCCCUCGGACACCAAACUCAUGGCCGCCUAGCACUCAGAUGACGGGGGAGCUGUGCCUUCUUGGCAGGCAGGACCCUGCCAACAGGUAAAGCUGCUUUCAGCCAACAAUAUUCCCUGUGCCAGGGACUGUGCACGGACUGGGAGAAGAAGUGGAGGACAGACUGUGAUGAUCUCUGACUUUCUGGAGGCUCAGCUGAACUGGGGAGAUGGAUGCUGCAUGAGAGACUAAGCUAACAGAGGAAAUGAUGCUCUGAAGGAAGUGGAAAUGGUGAACAUCAGGGCUGGACUGUUUUGGAUCUGAAGGCAAAGCAAGCACUUUCUGAGGAGAGCACCUUUAAACCAAAUUAACAAUUGUGGUGCUGGAGAAGACUCUUGAGAGUCACUUGGACUACAAGGAGAUCCAACCAGUCAAUCCUAAAAGAAGUCAAACGUGAACAUUCAGUGGAAGGGCCGAUGCUGAAGCUCCAAUACUUUGGUCACCUGAUGCAAAGAGCCAACUCAUUGGAAAAGAGCCUGAUACUGGGAAAGAUUGAAGGCAGGUGGAGUAGGGGACAACAGAGGAUGAGAAAGUUGGAUGGAAUCACUGACUCAAUGGAUAUGAGUUUGAGAAAACUCUGGGAGACGGUGAAGGACAGGAAAGGCUGGCGUGCUGCAGCGUAUGGGGUUGCAGAGUCAGAUGUGUUCAGUCAAAACUGAAGAACAAGAGCAACAACAAUGAAGAGACAGGACCAGCAGGUGGAGAAAGGCAGGAGGCACCUCAGCCUCUCCACAGAGACUGCAGAGCAGUGAGCCGGUCAGGAUGAGACGUCCAGCAGAUGGGAUGCUUCUCACUGCAACGUUGAGGGUGGUCCUUUUAACUCCAUCCGCCCAUUUGAAGGCCAGGCUUCUCCAGAAACACCCUCAACAGACACACCCCGAAAUACAUUUCACCAGCUCUCUGGGCCUCCCUUAGCCCCAUCAAGUUAACCCAUCAUACCAACCAUCACAAAUAACUGUGUGUGAAGGGUGAAAGCCCCAUGUCUCUGAAGCCAGUGGGUGUUCACAAGAGGAUUAUGGGAAGAGGGACAGAAGUGCCUGGAUGUACUGUUCAGAACUGGCAGGACCGGCCUCUAAAAGGAAGACUUAAAAUGAUGUUUUUGACAUCAACACUUUCCCCAAAGUUGAUGUAAGUCCUGGGGUUUUGGCAAAGGCCCACAGGCUACCUCUGACCUGUUGUCUCUUAAAAAAAAUUUUUUUUAUUUAUUAAUUUAUUUUUGGCUGCACUGGGUCUUUGUUGCUACACAGGCUUUUCUCUAGUUGCGGGCUACUCUCUAUUUGUGGUGCAUGGGCUUCUCAUCUGGUGGCUUCCCUUGCCACAGAGCACGGGCUCUAUGGCGUGCAGGCUUCAAUAACUGUGGUGCAUAGCCUCAGUCGUUGCAGCUCAAAGACUCUAGACGGUGAGCUCUGGAGUCAGGGCACAUGGGCUUAGUUGCUCCAUGGCAUGUGGGAUCUUAUUUCCUGGACCAGGGGUCACCUGCACUGGCAGGCAGAUUCUUAACCACUGGACUACCAGGGAAGUCUCUGUUGCCUCCUUUUGUAAGUUAAGAUUCAUGGGAUCGCCAUGGCCACAGCCAUUUGUGGAUGUGUUGUCUACAGCUGCUUUUGGACACAACGUGGAACAGUGUUGAUAAAGACCACAUUGUCUACAAAACCUCAAAGAUUUGCUAUCUGGUUCUUGCAGAAAAAGUUUGCUGACUCUUGAUAUACUUACUCCACCUGAUCCACUGAGCACCUGCUGAAAGUCUACUCCAGGUUGAGAAAUGUGUUUAUAGGAAUGUGAAUAGUGGUCUUCCUUUGGUGAGACGCUGAGGACCUUUGGUGAUGUGUUUUUGUCCCCGGUAAUCAGUACAGGUGCAUUGGUAGCAGGAAGUGAGAAGGAUGCAGUGCAAGAAGUCAUGGUUUGAGAAAAGGUUCUGCUGCGAUUGUCUUGGUGGCAGGUGGUGAAUCAUGGCUGGGCUCUUCCUUUGUCUGCUGCCUGGAGGAGGAGGUGUUAAU